CGGUCCUAGUGGCGAACGGUCGCGUAACACGUAAGCAACCUGCCCUGAAGUGGGGGACAACAUCCCGAAAGGGGUGCUAAUACCGCAUGUGGUCACGAGUCGGCAUCGGCUUGUGUCUAAAGAUUUAUCGCUUCAGGAUGGGCUUGCGGCCUAUCAGGUAGUUGGUGGGGUAAUGGCCUACGGAGAAAGACGACGGGUAGCUGGUCUGAGAGGACGAUCAGCCGGAUUUUUUCUGAGAUACGGACCAGAC
rnacentral:rRNA from 1 species